rnacentral:rRNA from 1 species
GACGAACGCUGGCGGCGUGCUUAACACAUGCAGGUCGAACGGAAAGGCCCUGCUUUUGUGGGGUGCUCGAGUGGCGAACGGGUGAGUAACACGUGAGUAACCUGCCCUUGACUUUGGGAUAACUUCAGGAAACUGGGGCUAAUACCGGAUAGGAGCUCCCGCUGCAUGGUGGGGGUUGGAAGGUUUCGGCGGUUGGGGAUGGACUCGCGGCUUAUCAGCUUGUUGGUGGGGUAGUGGCUUACCAAGGCUUUGACGGGUAGCCGGCCUGAGAGGGUGACCGGCCACAUUGGGACUGAGAUACGGCCCAGACUCCUACGGGAGGCAGCAGUGGGGAAUAUUGCACAAUGGGCGGAAGCCUGAUGCAGCAACGCCGCGUGCGGGAUGACGGCCUUCGGGUUGUAAACCGCUUUCGCCUGUGACGAAGCGUGAGUGACGGUAAUGGGUAAAGAAGCACCGGCUAACUACGUG